rnacentral:rRNA from 1 species
AGAGUUUGAUCCUGGCUCAGGACGAACGCUGGCGGCGUGCUUAACACAUGCAAGUCGAACGGAGAACUUAUUUCGGUAAGUUCUUAGUGGCGAACGGGUGAGUAACGCGUGGGCAACCUGCCCUCCAGUUGGGGACAACAUUCCGAAAGGGAUGCUAAUACCGAAUGUCCUCCCUCCUCCGCAUGGAGGAGGGAGGAAAGAUGGCCUCUGCUUGCAAGCUAUCGCUGGAAGAUGGGCCCGCGUCUGAUUAGCUAGUUGGUGGGGUAACGGCUCACCAAGGCGAUGAUCAGUAGCCGGUCUGAGAGGAUGAACGGCCACAUUGGGACUGAGACACGGCCCAAACUCCUACGGGAGGCAGCAGUGGGGAAUCUUCCGCAAUGGACGAAAGUCUGACGGAGCAACGCCGCGUGAGUGAUGAAGGUCUUCGGAUUGUAAAACUCUGUUGUUAGGGACGAAAGCACCGUGUUCGAACAGGUCAUGGUGUUGACGGUACCUAACGAGGAAGCCACGGCUAACUACGUGCCAGCAGCCGCGGUAAUACGUAGGUGGCAAGCGUUGUCCGGAAUUAUUGGGCGUAAAGAGCAUGUAGGCGGGCUUUUAAGUCUGACGUGAAAAUGCGGGGCUUAACCCCGUAUGGCGUUGGAUACUGGAAGUCUUGAGUGCAGGAGAGGAAAGGGGAAUUCCCAGUGUAGCGGUGAAAUGCGUAGAUAUUGGGAGGAACACCAGUGGCGAAGGCGCCUUUCUGGACUGUGUCUGACGCUGAGAUGCGAAAGCCAGGGUAGCAAACGGGAUUAGAUACCCCGGUAGUCCUGGCCGUAAACGAUGGAUACUAGGUGUAGGAGGUAUCGACCCCUUCUGUGCCGGAGUUAACGCAAUAAGUAUCCCGCCUGGGGACUACGAUCGCAAGAUUGAAACUCAAAGGAAUUGACGGGGGCCCGCACAAGCGGUGGAGUAUGUG